CUUAUGCACGCCGAGAGAAUCUGUAAAGGGGAAUGAGUGGAUGCAAGAUGGAAUUGCGGACUAAUUUGUAUGCGAGAAAAAAGUGAAAGAAGGUCUACACAUUAUUAAGCGACCAACAUCUCUCAAAGUGUUUAAACGCCACACUUGCUCACCUUUCGGGAUGCAAAUAAUUGUGCUUGAUUAGGUGAGAUAUAUCCAAGAGAACUCACUUAUAAUACUUAUCAGAUUUCUAAUAUCCAUACUUGUUCGUCUUUCAAGAUACAAAUGUUGGAAGUUAACUCGCUAAGGUGGAGUUUGUUGUCAAAUUCCUUUGUGUGCGCAUUACCCUUAUCCUUGCUACUUGCCCUCUCGGGUAGUUGGCGAUUGACAUUGGUCAAACGAUGAAUGCGUUAAGAAUUGUAAGUUAGAUUCCUUGUUAAGAAUUUAUCACAAACCUAUACUGAUAACACAUUAACAAGUGGGAAGUCAAUAAAUGAUGGAUUGAAAAUGUAUAAACAUGUAAAAUAUAUACAAGGAUGUAGGCCUUAGGCUAUUGUACCCUAUGAACAACAUAGGUUACAAAGAAAUGCAUAAAAUAGAGAAAAAUGAGAAUGAAAAAAUAUUACAAGUUAGGGGACAAUGAAAGUAUAGAUUCUUCCUUUCUUAGGAGCCAAGCUCUCACUUUUACAACUGAUCAGAGAAGAAGAAGAGAACGUUAUAUCUCACUUUUACGAUCAGAGAAGAAGAAGAAGAAGAGAACGUUAUAGAUGGCGGAAAAGCUAUUCCUUUUCGCAACGUUAUAAAUGGCGGAAAAGCUAUUCCUUUUCGCAACGUUAUAGAUGGCGGAAAAGCUAUUCCUUUUCGCCACUCUCUCUAGGGAUUGACCUUUUUAGGCCUUUGUCCCAUACACAUAUCCAGACUAGUCCUUUAUGACCUUAAAUCCUAUUUGUGCUACUUAGUUUCAUUAAACUAAACUAAGACAUAAUUCUAAUCCUAUUAGAAUUAAUGUGAUCUUAAAUCUAUUUAAUUUUAAACAAUUUAAAAUUAAAUCAAAUUAAUCCUAAAAUUGUAAGUUUGCAUGCAACUCCUUGUUAUAGAUUGAGGGUUUCUAAUUAUCAAAAUUUAUAACUAUUAUAAAAUUAAUUAAUUAAUCCUAGAAUAUGCAUAUUAUGAUUUAAUUAAAAAAUAACCGAUACAAAAUGUUAAACAUUACAUUAAUAUAACAAUUAUAUUAAUAUGUGGAUGUAAUAUGCCAUGCAAAUUGAUUUUCAUCUUAAUUAAUAUUAAAAAAAAUAAUACAUGAAAAUCAAUCAAACAUACACAAGAUAUUAAUUUAAAUAUAACAAAUUACAUUUAACUAAGUUAUGUCAUGCAUGAUGCUUAUCCAAUUUCACAUAUAUAGAAUAUCAAAGAUACUUUAAAUAACUCAUAAAAUUUAAAUUAAUCUAAAUAACAUUCACAAAUCAUUUAAAUAGCAAUUGAAUCGGUAAAAUUGCCCCUAAGAACAAAUAAAGUAAUAAAUUAAACUAAUAAACCUUUAAAAUAUCAUAAAUUUGAUUCCCAAGUUUCAAAAACGGUCUCAAAAUCUUUAAAAAGCUUCAAAAUAGGUCCAAAAACCUUAAACCGAUCAAAAAAUGGAAGAAUCAAUCCAAAAAGUGAAAAAUCGGCAUAAAAACAAUUGAAUCGGCGCCAAAAUGCUAAACUGCACCGCUAGAUGAUGAACUUAACCGAGCACGUGCCAAUCGAAGUUGACCACUGUGAACCAAUUGAAGUUGAGCCGUUGAGCCAAGUCCAAGCCGCACCUCUCCUCUCCUCAGUCCAAGUCCAAAUCUCUCACUUGAUCAUCUAGUGAAACCUCUUCAGCCAUAAUUGUAUAGAAUGAAUAUGAUAGGAGAUACAUUCACUCUAAUCUCUAAUUCACCAAGGUCGGUAUAACCCAUUCAGUUUCUCCAAUAACACUCGUGCUUUCUAACACAUAGUGAAUGUCCAACCUAAACAAAAUAAAAGAAGAAAAAUACAAUCGAAAAAUACAAACGUCCAAUAACAACCGGAAAGAUAGAACUAAACCCAACUGAAUAGCCAAAAUAAUAGCAGAAUCAAAACAACACAAUCCAAGGAGAAUAAAUAAAUAAAGAAAGUAGGAUCAAAAUUCUUAACCUACUUUUAAAUAAUGAUUAGAUAGUGAGCUUCCAAAUUCCUACAUUUACUGUUCAUGGUAGGAAAAGAAAAAGAAGGAAAUUUGGUGGCAUCCGUAAUUUCCACUAACAUUCGUUGAUGUGGAAGACCUGUCAGGUCUACGUGGAACACAAUCUUGGCACUAUACGUUUACUUGGCACCCAAGCCAGGAACGAACUACAUUAUCAAUUAUCACAUUUUCUUUUCUUUUCCUAUUA
rnacentral:lncRNA from 1 species